UACACUCCUGCGGGAGGCAGCAGUGGGGAAUUUUGGACAAUGGGCGAAAGCCUGAUCCAGCAAUGCCGCGUGUGUGAAGAAGGCCUUCGGGUUGUAAAGCACUUUUGUCCGGAAAGAAAUCCUUGGCUCUAAUACAGUCGGGGGAUGACGGUACCGGAAGAAUAAGCACCGGCUAACUACGUGCCAGCAGCCGCGGUAAUACGUAGGGUGCGAGCGUUAAUCGGAAUUACUGGGCGUAAAGCGUGCGCAGGCGGUUUGCUAAGACCGAUGUGAAAUCCCCGGGCUCAACCUGGGAACUGCAUUGGUGACUGGCAGGCUAGAGUAUGGCAGAGGGGGGUAGAAUUCCACGUGUAGCAGUGAAAUGCGUAGAGAUGUGGAGGAAUACCGAUGGCGAAGGCAGCCCCCUGGGCCAAUACUGACGCUCAUGCACGAAAGCGUGGGGAGCAAACAGGAUUAGAAACCCGUGUAGUCC
rnacentral:rRNA from 1 species